rnacentral:misc_RNA from 1 species
UUUCCGUAGGUGAACCUGCGGAAGGAUCAUUACCGAGUGAGGGCCCUCUGGGUCCAACCUCCCACCCGUGUUUAUUAUACCUUGUUGCUUUUGCGGGCCCGCCUCACGGCCGCCGGGGGGCUUCUGCCCCCGUGCCCGUGCCCGCCGAAGACACCUUAGAACUCUGGCUGAAGAUUUUAGUCUGAGUAAAAAUAUAAAUUAUUUAAAACUUUCAACAACGGAUCUCUUGGUUCCG